AAUAUCCAGGUGUGUGGCUUGAACCUGGCAUACAAUGUAGAUUUCUGUAUUUUCUGGGCAACAGCUACAUUGUCUGCUGGGUUUCAGGCUACCUGGAAACGCAUUCU
rnacentral:pre_miRNA from 1 species